rnacentral:tRNA from 1 species
GGCCCCGUAGUGCAUGGGUUCGCAUCGGUCUCUUUCAAAGACUGGAAACGGGUUCGAGUCCCGUCGGGGCUA